CUACAAUGCAGCCGAGCGGUAGAGAUUCUUCGGGAUCUUGAGAGCGGCGCACGGGUGCGGAACACGUGUGCAACCUGCCUUUAUCUGGGGGAUAGCCUUUCGAAAGGAAGAUUAAUACCCCAUAAUAUAUUGAAUGGCAUCAUUUGAUAUUGAAAACUCCGGUGGAUAGAGAUGGGCACGCGCAGGAUUAGAUAGUUGGUGAGGUAACGGCUCACCAAGUCAACGAUCCUUAGGGGGCCUGAGAGGGUGAUCCCCCACACUGGUACUGAGACACGGACCAGACUCCUACGGGAGGCAGCAGUGAGGAAUAUUGGACAAUGGGUGAGAGCCUGAUCCAGCCAUCCCGCGUGAAGGAUGACGGCCCUAUGGGUUGUAAACUUCUUUUGUAUAGGGAUAAACCUACUCUCGUGAGAGUAGCUGAAGGUACUAUACGAAUAAGCACCGGCUAACUCCGUGCCAGCAGCCGCGGUAAUACGGAGGGUGCAAGCGUUAUCCGGAUUUAUUGGGUUUAAAGGGUCCGUAGGCGGAUGUGUAAGUCAGUGGUGAAAUCUCACAGCUUAACUGUGAAACUGCCAUUGAUACUGCAUGUCUUGAGUGUUGUUGAAGUAGCUGGAAUAAGUAGUGUAGCGGUGAAAUGCAUAGAUAUUACUUAGAACACCAAUUGCGAAGGCAGGUUACUAAGCAACAACUGACGCUGAUGGACGAAAGCGUGGGGAGCGAACAGGAUUAGAUACCCUGGUAGUCCACGCCGUAAACGAUGCUAACUCGUUUUUUGGGGCGCAAGCUUCAGAGACUAAGCGAAAGUGAUAAGUUAGCCACCUGGGGAGUACGAACGCAAGUUUGAAACUCAAAGGAAUUGACGGGGGCCCGCACAAGCGGUGGAUUAUGUGGUUUAAUUCGAUGAUACGCGAGGAACCU
rnacentral:rRNA from 1 species